rnacentral:rRNA from 1 species
AGCGAACGCUGGCGGCAGGCCUCACACAUGCAAGUCGAACGAACCUUUCGGGGUUAGUGGCGGACGGGUGAGUAACACGUGGGAACGUGCCUUUAGGUUCGGAAUAACUCAGGGAAACUUGUGCUAAUACCGAAUGUGCCCUUCGGGGGAAAGAUCUAUCGCCUUUAGAGCGGCCCGCGUCUGAUUAGCUAGUUGGUUGAGGUAAUGGCUCACCAAGGCGACGAUCAGUAGCUGGUCUGAGAGGAUGAUCAGCCACAUUGGGACUGAGACACGGCCCAAACUCCUACGGGAGGCAGCAGUGGGGAAUCUUGCGUAAUGGGCGAAAGCCUGACGCAGCCAUGCCGCGUGAAUGAUGUAGGUCUUAGGAUUGUAAAAUUCUUUCACCGGGGACGAUAAUGACGGUACCCGGAGAAGAAGCCCCGGCUAACUUCGUG